rnacentral:rRNA from 1 species
GACGAACCGUGCGAACGUUAUUCGGAAUCACUGGGCUUAAAGCGCACGUAGGCGGUUCGUUAAGUCGGAUGUGAAAGCCCUCGGCUCAACUGAGGAAGUGCACCCGAAACUGGCGAGCUUGAGUACGAAAGAGGAUCGCGGAAUUCCCGGUGUAGAGGUGAAAUUCGUAGAUAUCGGGAGGAACACCGGUGGCGAAGGCGGCGAUCUGGGUCGAUACUGACGGCGUGAGGUGCGAAAGCGUGGGGAGCAAAC